rnacentral:misc_RNA from 1 species
GAUGAAGAACGCAGCGAAAUGCGAUAAGUAAUGUGAAUUGCAGAAUUCAGUGAAUCAUCGAAUCUUUGGACGCACAUUGCGCCCGCCAGUAUUCUGGCGGGCAUGCCUGUUCGAGCGUCAUUUCAACCCUCAAGACCCCUUCGGGGGACUUGGUGUUGGGGACCGGCACAGGGGCCUGCCUGCUUGUCUUGCAGCGCCCUCGCCGCCCCCGAAAUGAAUUGGCGGCCUCGUCGCGGCCUCCCCUGCGUAGUAGCACAAACCUCGCAACGGGAACGUGACGGCGGCCACUGCCGUAAAACAACCCAAUUUUAUUAGAGUUGACCUCGAAUCAGGUAGGAAUACCCGCUGAACUUAAGCAUAUCAAUAAGCGGAGGA